rnacentral:lncRNA from 12 species
UCAGAGGUUGAUUUCAGGAAAGCAAUAAUAGACAUAUUAUGUUUUUUGGUACCUUUUUGUGAGUUUCAUAUCUUUACAUCUCUUUGUCUUCAACAUGUGUAGCCAUGUAGCCCUGGGUUCUUCAGCUGUGAAAGACCCCAAGGAUACAACAAGUGCUCCAUCUGAUAGCUCUACUGCUGCUCCUGAUGCCACCACUGCAGCUCCUGCCAGCACUGCAGCUCCUCCUGCCUCCACGACCACUGCUGCUCAAAGCACCACUUCAGCAAGUAAGUCUAACUCAUCUAUAGGCUUCUCUAUGGGGCUCCUGGAUUCCUGGGGUCUCUAUUGUUAGGGUAAACUCUAUUUUCAGGGCAAGAGGGAAGAGCCCUGGGAAAGCUCUGUUUUCUUCAUUCUCUCACUGCUUUCAGUUUUAUAUAUCAAGUUCACAGAUAUCUCAGAGGAAUUGAGGCUUCCUUGAGGCAGAAACUUUUAAGUAUUAUUCAGGGUAGUUCUGGGUGUGUUUCACCUUCAUGACAGGACCAAGACUGUAGUCUUUCUAGUCCUGGUUCGUCUUUCCUGUCCUUCAACACUCAUGUAACAUGGGUCACAAAGUUUGUUGACUGUGGACAUAUAUCAGGCAGUGGAGUAUACAAUUUGCAUAUCAAUGUAAUUUAAAUCUCAUUUACUAAGUAAACACUGUAAGGAUGAAGACAUUGAGAACUUACAAAGAAAGAUUUCCCCCUGAACACAUGAGAGAGAUUGGGUUGGUAUUUAUACAAUCAAAGUUCGGAGGAACCUUUUUCAAAUAUUGCCUUUACUCAUUCAGUGUCCGGGCCAUCAUGUGGCAUCUGUUCAAGGAUGUGUAGUGGCAGCCAGUGGAGGGAAAAAGGACUGAGUUGCUCUGUGUUAUGGGGAGGGAAAACUAAUGCACAUUGGCCUACUUCCUGUUCAAUGUAAACCUCCAGUUUUCGUAGGCUCCCACCCAGGGCUGCAAAUUCCAUUUCUCUUUGGGCAAACAUGUCAUGUUCCUUUGACACCUCGGAAGUCAGUGCCAUUUGAUGUUUGUUAGUCUCCUCACAGAUGCCCAGGAAAGAAGCCACAUUAUUCAUCUUUUUGUGAAACCCUCUUGACAAUAUAUUUUAUUCUCUUGCAGGCUUCUUGAACUGGUUGCAUCACCUAUUUGGGUUGAAAUAGUUGUAAGAUGGAAUUACUCCGAGGCAUCUGCAUUUGAUCCUGUGGGGCUCGGCCACUUAUGCCUUCAUUUGAUUUAAUCCAACGAUUUACCAUGUGUACCAAUGUCUCUUAUCCCUAAUCAGUUUUUCUGUUUAAAAUAAAAAGAACAACAUUGAGCA